rnacentral:rRNA from 1 species
CAGCAGCAGCCACGGUAAUACCAGCACCUCGAGUGGUCAGGAGGCUUAUUGGGCCUAAAGCAUCCGUAGCCGGUUGCAUAAGUUUUCGGUUAAAUCUAUGCGCUUAACGUAUAGGCCGCCGAAAAUACUGUGCAGCUAGGGAGUGGGAGAGGUACACGGUACUCGAUAGGAAGGGGUAAAAUCCUUUGAUCUAUUGAUGACCACCUGUGGCGAAGGCGGUGUACCAGAACACGUUCGACGGUGAGGGAUGAAAGCUGGGGGAGCAAACCGGAUUAGAUACCCCUGUAGUCCCUGUCUCUUAUAC